rnacentral:rRNA from 1 species
CAAAUCCCUAAAAGACCAUCUCAUUCGGAUUGCAGGCUGCAACUCGCCUGCAUGAAGCUGGAAUUGCUAGUAAUCGCGGAUCAGCAUGCCGCGGUGAAUACGUUCCCGGGCCUUGUACACACCGCCCGUCACACCAUGAGAGUCGGGAACACCAGAAGUCCGUAGUCUAACCCGCAAGGGAGGGCGCGGCCGAAGGUGGGUCCGGUAAUUGGGGUGAAGUCGUAACAAGGUACC